rnacentral:lncRNA from 1 species
CUCCAGACCCUCCAGAAGGGCAGGUGGGAAAGAAAAAUACAGAAUUGUAGGCAGGAUCCCUAACUUACCUGCAGUGUCAGUGGCCCCAUUGACUAGACUUACACUAUCAGUUAAAGAUUUAUGCUAUUUGUAGACUGUCCUAAUAAGAAAUACCAGAUGUCAUUGACUUACCUCUAAGACAGAUGUCUUUCUCUGUGCUCCAAAAUGACGUGUAUGAAACCAAGCUUCCACUUGGAAUGUUUUUCUUCUGCUGUUCGGGGUCGCUGGAGCUCAGCUACGGAUGAGUCCGAUUGGGAUGAGUCUGAUCAUAUUCAGGCCAACAUUUUCUGAAAAAUUAGAAGGAAGUGAGCCUGCAUGUGAUGAAAUUUUCAGGCUGUGAGCCUCCCUUUCCUAAAGCCAGUCCAGCACCUCCCAAAAGAUGGAAGAAGACUCCUUGAAAAGACCAGAAGUUGAUUUCAACAAGGAUGGUACCAGCCAAUGUCUUGAAUAACCCCUUGAAAGGAAGAGAAAUCCAGACAAAGGAUUGCUGGGUGGAAGAUCACCUCCUGAAAGCAUCACACAAAACCACACCACAGCAAAAUCAAGGUCUGGAUUACCUGCAAAUCAGUGUCCCCAUAAAAAGAGCACAGCCAAACUUUGAAGUCUCAUCCAGAGAAGCUAUACACAAGAAAUGUGAUGCAGCCAGGGGUGGCAAACCACCCUGCCCUGUGUGAUGGGACUGUGAGCGUCAGGGUGCCCCUGGCCAGCACAGCCCCGCUUCUGCCAAGGGAUGCCUAAGGCAGCCCCUCAACAGCAACCGCUGCUGCCACCUUCAGCUGCAGCCCCACCCCAUCAGGAGGAGAAGCCAGCUCCAUUCUCCACAGCCCUCCUGUGGAACUUCAUCUUGGCCCUGCCAUUUCAUCACAAAAUCCCUCCGAGCAGGAGGGAGGAAACAGCGAGCGGGGGAGAAAGAGGUGCGAGCAAAAAGAUGGGGAAAUGAAGAGAGCACCCCCUAAACCUCACAUCCCUUCCCCAAACCAGGCUGACCCCUCCUCAUCACCUUCCAUACUACCUAUUUUUUUACACUUUUGACUUAUUACCUCUGCUAAUCCUGCUGUAAUCCCCUACCUCUGUUCCCUGCUCCUGCAGUAUCCAGCCAUCCUUCCCUCGCCCCAUUCCUGCAUCCAGCUGGGAUGCUGCUGAGCCCUCCCUGCCUUCCCUCCCCCCAGCCAGCAGCCCCCUCCCCACCCACCCUCAGGACACCAACCCAGGGCUGCUGACCCCGCUGAAAUGCUUUAUGCUGACUCUGGCCUCAUCCUCUCUAGACUUCUUCUUUAAAAAUUAAAUAACUAUAUGUAUUUCUUUAGCUUUAAGUCUCUUUAGGUCGAAGAAGAGCUUCGGAAGGCAAUGCAUUUUUAAUGAAGGGUGGAAAACUGACAAACCAUUUUUAGAUACAGCUGUAAUAAAUAUUUUUUCUCUAUCUUUUUAAGGUUGGUU